rnacentral:rRNA from 1 species
AAGCCCUUCGGGGUGGAUCAGUGGCGAACGGGUGAGUAACACGUGAGCAACCUGCCCUUGGCUCUGGGACAACCACUGGAAACGGUGGCUAAUACCGGAUACGACCCAUGCAGGCAUCUGUUGUGGGUGGAAAGAUUUUUCGGCUGGGGAUGGGCUCGCGGCCUAUCAGCUUGUUGGUGGGGUGAUGGCCUACCAAGGCGACGACGGGUAGCCGGCCUGAGAGGGCGACCGGCCACACUGGGACUGAGACACGGCCCAGACUCCUACGGGAGGCAGCAGUGGGGAAUAUUGCACAAUGGGCGCAAGCCUGAUGCAGCGACGCCGCGUGAGGGAUGACGGCCUUCGGGUUGUAAACCUCUUUCAGCAGGGAAGAAGCGAAAGUGACGGUACCUGCAGAAGAAGCACCGGCUAACUACGUGCCAGCAGCCGCGGUAAUACGUAGGGUGCAAGCGUUGUCCGGAAUUAUUGGGCGUAAAGAGCUCGUAGGCGGUGUGUCGCGUCUGCUGUGAAAACUCAGGGCUCAACUCUGAGCUUGCAGUGGGUACGGGCACACUUGAGUGCUGUAGGGGAGACUGGAAUUCCUGGUGUAGCGGUGAAAUGCGCAGAUAUCAGGAGGAACACCGGUGGCGAAGGCGGGUCUCUGGGCAGUUACUGACGCUGAGGAGCGAAAGCAUGGGGAGCGAACAGGAUUAGAUACCCUGGUAGUCCAUGCCGUAAACGUUGGGCGCUAGGUGUGGGGUCCAUUCCACGGAUUCCGUGCCGCAGCUAACGCAUUAAGCGCCCCGCCUGGGGAGUACGGCCGCAAGGCUAAAACUCAAAGGAAUUGACGGGGGCCCGCACAAGCGGCGGAGCAUGCGGAUUAAUUCGAUGCAACGCGAAGAACCUUACCAAGGCUUGACAUGCGCGGUGGAAUCCCAGAGAUGGGGUGUCAUUUAGUUGGUCGCGUACAGGUGGUGCAUGGUUGUCGUCAGCUCGUGUCGUGAGAUGUUGGGUUAAGUCCCGCAACGAGCGCAACCCUCGUUCCAUGUUGCCAGCAAUUCGGUUGGGGACUCAUGGGAGACUGCCGGGGUCAACUCGGAGGAAGGUGGGGAUGACGUCAAAUCAUCAUGCCCCUUAUGUCUUGGGCUUCACGCAUGCUACAAUGGCCAGUACAGAGGGCUGCGAUACCGUGAGGUGGAGCGAAUCCCAAAAAGCUGUCUCAGUUCGGAUCGGGGUCUGCAACUCGACCCCGUGAAGUCGGAGUCGCUAGUAAUCGCAGAUCAGCAACGCUGCGGUGAAUACGUUCCCGGGCCUUGUACACACCGCCCGUCACGUCAUGAAAGUCGGUAACACCCGAAGCCGGUGGCCCAACCC